AUUGAACGCUGGCGGAAUGCUUUACACAUGCAAGUCGAACGGCAGCACGGACUUCGGUCUGGUGGCGAGUGGCGAACGGGUGGGUAAUGUAUCGGAACGUGCCCAGUCGUGGGGGAUAACGCAGUGAAAAUUACGCUAAUACCGCACACGAUCUAUGGAUGAAAGCGGGGGAUCGCAAGACCUCGCGCGAUUGGAGCGGCCGAUAUCAGAUUAGGUAGUUGGUGGGGUAAAGGCCCACCAAGCCAACGAUCUGUAGCUGGUCUGAGAGGACGACCAGCCACACUGGAACUGAGACACGGUCCAGGCUCCUACGGGAGGCAGCAGUGGGGAAUUUUGGACAAUGGGCGAAAGCCUGAUCCAGCCAUUCCGCGUGCAGGAUGAAGGCCCUCGGGUUGUAAACUGCUUUUGUACAGAACGAAAAGGUUUCUACUAAUACUAGGAGCUCAUGACGGUACUGUAAGAAUAAGCACCGGCUAACUACGUGCCAGCCGCCGCUGUAA
rnacentral:rRNA from 1 species